GUGUGCACCGGGCCAAGUCUGCCGUAAUCAGCCACUCAACAUCGGACAGUAUUGCGCGGAUCCGUGACCGUGACAGUUGACUAACCGCCACCUUGAAGUGCUCCAGAAUGGACCUCUUCGACACUCCUGAAAUAAGAGCAUCAAAGAAUUGGAGGGUGUUGGUGGUUCAACCUAUUUUCUCUGUAGUUUAGUUGCAAAGCAUUAAAAAACGUUAUAAAAAAA